AGUGAACGCUGGCGGUAGGCCUAACACAUGCAAGUCGAACGGCAGCACAGUAAGAGCUUGCUCUUACGGGUGGCGAGUGGCGGACGGGUGAGGAAUACAUCGGAAUCUACUUUUUCGUGGGGGAUAACGUAGGGAAACUUACGCUAAUACCGCAUACGACCUACGGGUGAAAGCAGGGGAUCUUCGGACCUUGCGCGAUUGAAUGAGCCGAUGUCGGAUUAGCUAGUUGGCGGGGUAAAGGCCUACCAAGGCGACGAUCCGUAGCUGGUCUGAGAGGAUGAUCAGCCACACUGGAACUGAGACACGGUCCAGACUCCUACGGGAGGCAGCAGUGGGGAAUAUUGGACAAUGGGCGAAAGCCUGAUCCAGCAAUACCGCGUGGGUGAAGAAGGCCUUCGGGUUGUAAAGCCCUUUUGUUGGGAAAGAAAAGCAGCAGGUUAAUACCCCGCUGUUCUGACGGUACCCAAAGAAUAAGCACCGGCUAACUUCGUG
rnacentral:rRNA from 1 species